rnacentral:rRNA from 1 species
GACGAACGCUGGCGGCGUGCUUAACACAUGCAAGUCGAACGAAGUGGCGCACGGGUGAGUAACGCGUAAUCAACCUGCCCUUCAGGGGGGUACAACAGUGGGAAACGACUGCUAAUACCGCAUACUGAAGUAGGUGAGUGCGUUGGAUUAGCAAGUGGGAGGGGUAACGGCCGACCAAGGCGAGGAUAAGUAGGCGGUCUGAGAGGGUGAACGGCCACAUUGGGACUGAGACACGGCCCAGACUCCUACGGGAGGCAGCAGUGGGGAAUCUGCCGCAAUGGACGAAAGUCUGACGGAGCAACGCCGCGUGAGUGAUGACGGCUUUCGGGUUGUAAAGCUCUGUUAAUCGGGACGCGGUACCGGAAUAGAAAGCCACGGCUAACUACGUGCCAGCAGCCGCGGUAAUAC